UCCAGGCCCCACUAAUCGGAAACAGCGGGCCUCCAAAAGCAAGGCAGCCUGGUGACCAGGGGCAAUUACCACAUUGUUUGGUUUUUAAAUUAGUCCCUUCUUGGUGCUCUGAUCACCAUCAGGAGGCUGGUGAUUCAGAAACCCAGGGGGUGCCUGCUGCUGUGAGCAAGGAGGGCUGUCUUGGGUUCAUGCUCCCCCAGCCAAAGGUUCCAGGUGAAGGGUGACCUCAGUGGGCCUGAAAACCAUAGUCCAUGACCUAAAAGUUUAGGAAAAAGGGAUCUUUGCUGGAGCUUCUCAUCCACAGGCCUUUACACUCAAGAUGAUUCUGUUAUAGUGUGGCCUCCACAGCGGGGAGCUAUGGGAACUUGUCAUGAAAAGCCACAGCAGCAACAGAAUCCCACGACACAACAGAAAUCAUUUUUCUUCUGGCCAAAACUCGAAAGGUUUCCAGAACUGAUGAUGAGGUCUCCGGGACAGGCAACUCGGGCUUUCCCAUAACUGAGAGAGAGCUCCAGCUUCCAGCUCACAGUCCUGGGGCUGGUCCAGAGAAAGGUGGGAUAGUGUCAUUUGGUAGGAAAUUACAGGUCAGUCUGAGCCAUCUUCCGGUACUUCACUUGCCUGAAUGUCAGUGUCUCCCAAACUUCAGCAACGAGAGUCUAAAGAUGCCAUUUAUUCCCUCUCUACCGGGCACUCACCCCUGUGGUGUGAAUUCCCAGAGGGACUCUUUCUUUUAUGUAUUUAUAUCCCUAUAGCUAUCAUAAUGCUUGGCAAAGAUUAGGUGGCUCAAUAAAUGUUCAGUGAGUUCCUGAAGCUGAUUAAAAGUCAACGAGUCUUUUACAAACAAGAACUAAUCCCUAACUGAUGCACAUUCGCAGUUUGGAGAACCACCAAACUGGGGGGUAUCUCUCAACUGUGUGUGCGCCUCUCCAUCCUUCGCAGAACAGCCAUCAUUCACUUACCGUGAUAGCCAGUCGACCUGCCUUCCGCCUUGCCCCCUGCAGUCCAUUUUCUGGGGGACCAACAAAGGGACUGUUCCUCUAUUCAAAACCCUUCAGGGGCUUCCCCUAGUUUAUCAUGGAAUUUUCUAAAGGAAACCACCUGCUUUAAUCAGCGCAGGGAACUGGGCAGGGGUGGGUAGAAGACCCCCUUCCUGUUCAUGUACAGAUCCUUGCGCACGGUUCUGGGGCAGUAGAGU